GGGAUUGUAGCUCAGUGGUGAGAGCGUCCGCCUGUCUAGCGGAAAGUCGCGGGUUCGAAUCCCGUCAAUCUCG
rfam:Chamaesiphon minutus PCC 6605, complete genome.